rnacentral:rRNA from 1 species
UGGGGAAUUUUGGACAAUGGGCGAAAGCCUGAUCCAGCAAUGCCGCGUGUGUGAAGAAGGCCUUCGGGUUGUAAAGCACUUUUGUCCGGAAAGAAAUCCUUGGCUCUAAUACAGUCGGGGGAUGACGGUACCGGAAGAAUAAGCACCGGCUAACUACGUGCCAGCAGCCGCGGUAAUACGUAGGGUGCAAGCGUUAAUCGGAAUUACUGGGCGUAAAGCGUGCGCAGGCGGUUUGCUAAGACCGAUGUGAAAUCCCCGGGCUCAACCUGGGAACUGCAUUGGUGACUGGCAGGCUAGAGUAUGGCAGAGGGGGGUAGAAUUCCACGUGUAGCAGUGAAAUGCGUAGAGAUGUGGAGGAAUACCGAUGGCGAAGGCAGCCCCCUGGGCCAAUACUGACGCUCAUGCACGAAAGCGUGGGGGAGCAAACAGGAUUAGAUACCCUGGUAGUCCACGCCCUAAACGAUGUCAACUAGUUGUUGGGGGAUUCAUUUCCUUAGUAACGUAGCUAACGCGUGAAGUUGACCGCCUGGGGAGUACGGUCGCAAGAUUAAAACUUAAAGGAAUUGACGGGGUCAUAGCUGUUUCCU